rnacentral:ncRNA from 1 species
UACCAACUGACCUAGCAGACAAGCCAAGAUGGUAAGACUUAUUUCCUUAGGAGGAAAUUAUG